GACAAAUAUUUCCAUAAGGCAACCAGAGAUGGAAAUAAGAAAGGCUUUAAGCUACCCCAAGAUAAACCAGACCAGUGGCAGCCUUGCUUCUCGGAUACAUACACACAAUCUUCCUAGGUCAAGCCCUAAAAUGCUGGGGAAGGAGAACCUCUUACCUAAGCAAUAGAGUAGAAAGGUUUAUUGAUUAAUAGUGAGGGGUGCAUGCCUAAGCCCAUUCCACAUCCAAAUGGACCAGAAGAGAGUGUGGGUCAUCCUAAUACAAGUCUCAGACAGCAUGUUGUGAUACAAGGCUCUGUUAGCAAAAUGGGCUCAAAUUCUUCGAGCCCAAUUCUAGUCCAGAAUUCUCAGUCCACUGUUGGCAUACAUAAUAAAGUCGGGGAGGCUACUUCUUUGCCUAAUUUGACUCUACCUCCUACAGUUCAUGUCAGAAAUAGGUUGUUAUCCGUGAACCACAACUUAAAGCCUCCUGACCCACCCAGAUCAACAAAAGGCAGUGUGGAAGAUUAUGCACAGCUUGUGCCUGGAAAUCAGGCGUGCACAAUGCCGGUAGAGAAACCUGAAUCUCAAGAGGCUAUCUCUGAUGUACACUUAUUUUGCAUCAGUCGGAUGUCAGAUGGAUAAAUGAGGCAUGUUAGGAGUUGGCCCCCAUUGCCGUUAAAUGACAGCAAUAUUGCUGUCAGUUUUAUGUAGCACGCCACAACACGUUACAUAGAGAGGAGCACAAUGCGACGCCUGCUUCUGUUUCAUGCUAUCUUGAUUUUCUAAAUUUUCUUUGAAUGUUUUUUUUAUGUAAAAUGGUAUCCCAUACUUCUGCAAUUACCUUGAACUCUAUUUUGGACUAAUUGUUAUCCUCAGGAAAUAAUUUUAAAUAGUUUGAAAACUAGUAUCUCAAUUUAUGAAAGAAUACAAUUGAAUUAAAAAGUGAUUUGAAAAUGAUUAAUCAUGGUAGGGUAAUUUUUUAGGUUCAAUCCUAUGAUUACCAAAAAGUAUUAAAAAUAAGAAUGGACUAGUAAGGGAGACCUUACACAUUUAAAAUAUGUUAUUAACAUUCAAAGACAGUCACAUUCAAGUUAAAAAGGGUAAAGUAGAAACUUUGGCCAUGAACUAUUUUUUUAGGAGCAUUUGGUAGCCUAAACUAUCAGGUGGUGUGAAAUAAAUCAUCAAUUUUAAAAAGCGGAGUAUUUAGUGGCUCGCCGUUGACUUUACCAAAUGGACAUUAUGUGGGGCCCACAACAACACAUGACACUUCAAGGGCACUCCACAUCAGCAUGUAUAAAUGUGCAAAUUUGGCCACAAAUUACUAUCUAAGGAGCAUUAGAUAGCCUCUACUAUUAAAAAAAAAAAAAACAGACCACCCAAUACCUUCCCUUUAAUUUUAACCAAAUACUAUUUAUUUUCAUACUUAUGACUCUACAAUAUGUCAAUCUCUCCAAUCUUUUCACCUUUGUUCUCAGUGUUAGCUUAAGAAAAAGAGGUUCAAAGAGUUUUUAUCUGAAGACAUUCACGAGAAUGAUGCCAAUGAAAUAAAAGCUUGAUUUUAUGACGUGUAGAAGAAGCUUGAUUUUAGUUUAAUUUAGCCACGAAUUAUUUCUUAUACUUUGUUGGCAUUGUCUUCGUGCAUAUCUUUAGAUAAUCGCUCUUCGAACCUUUUCUUCUUGAGCUAAAAUUGAUAACGAAGGCAAGAAGAUUGAGGAGAUUAACGCCUUAUAAGUCUCAUAAGUAUAAAAAUAAAUGGUGUUUAGUCAAAUUUUAUGAGAAGGUUUUGGAUGGUUAGUUUUUUAUAUUAGAGGUUACCCAAUGUUCUUUGAAAAAUAAUUCGUAACUAAAUUUAUACCUUUACACAUGCUGAUGUGAAGUGCCUUUGAAAUGUCACUUAUCAUUGUGAGCCUCACAUAAUGUCCAUUAGGUGAAGUUAAGAGGAAGCUAUUGAAUGCUUCAUUUUUUUUAAAGUUGAUAAUUUAUUUCACAUCACCUAAUAAUUUAGACAACCAGAUACUUCUAGAAAAAUAAUAUAUGGCCAAAUUUAUUCCUUUACCCAAGUUAAAAGUGAGGAAUGCUUGAAAACUAUAAAUGGAAGUAGCCUUUAAUAAUUAAGUGUGGAAGUUAUGAAAAUUAAAAUUUAUUCUAAUUUUUAAAUUGAAUUUUAAAAUUGAAAAUAAGAAGCUGGAAGUUGUGGUAGUCAAGAAAUUUUCAGAUCCACGGUAGUUAUAAUGUUGGAAAAAUUUUCGGAUAACUUUAACUUAUGAAGAUUGAAAUUUUUUAACUUUUUUAAAAAAUUUCGGCAGUAAGAAUUUCUUUAUAUAUUUUUUUUUUAAAAUAAGAAGUUAGAAAGUCAGGAUUGAAGUGAUUGGGUUACAGAAUCUGAAAAUUAGGCAAAAUAUCAGAAAAUUAAAAUUCAAAAUAUAUUAAUUAAGUUAUUUUAUACAGCAUAACUAAAAUUUGAUGUUGCUUCGUGAAAUCGCAGCAUUUUUUUUUUUAAGGACACAUGGUAGAGUUUAGAAGUUGGCAAAAUGAUAAUAAUACCCCUCCAAAUUAUAUAAAUAUAAUUCGAUCCUUCAAAAUACGAUAAUUCCACCAAAGUUUAUUGGAACCUCUUUAUUGAUAAAUUUUAAAUUUAAAAUAUCAUUUUACCUUUAUUGAUAAGUUAUAAUUUUUAUUU